AACUUUAUUGGAUGAGUCAAGGCAGAGUACAUCAGUGAUGGCAGUCACACUGAAUUUUUCUCUUUCCCUGUUGGAGAAAGCUACUCUGUCUUUUUCCAUAUCUGUCUUCCUUUAAAAGAAAAAAAGAGAGAGUAAUGCUCAUAGUUUCUGGAGAUAUGUGUUUUAAUCAAACACCUCUAUCACAUAUCUGCAGGAACUAUGAGCAUAAUAUUUUUUCUUAAAGGGAGACAAAUAUGAGAGAGACAGAGCAGCUGCCUUCUAAAUACACUGCAUGGAGGAAGGAGAAUUCAGUGUGACUGCCAUCGUUGAUAUACUCUGUCUUGACUCAUCCAAUAAAGUU
rnacentral:miRNA from 1 species